rnacentral:lncRNA from 1 species
UCCUGAGCAUUUUCCAUUAGCUAGAAUGAUGGAUGACUGGGGCUGUUUGGGGCAGGGACUGAAGUGUAGAGGAGGUGGUGUCUUGGGGCAUAGAGGAGAGAGCUCACAGAUUCCAUCCAGGCCUGGACCUGUUCCUUGCAUUGGGUUUGAAGGAAUCAGAGCAAUUUCUUGUUUUUUUUUUUUUUUUUUUUUUUUUUUUUUUUUUUUUUUUUAUCAGUGGAAUAAGCAAGCCUUUCUCUUAAGACUUUUGACUUGGGGUUGGUGCCAGAGCCUGUGGAGCCGGAGCUGUUCAUAGGUUUCCUGAUAGGAGCUGGCAGACGUUGCCUGGGUAGGGGUAGAACUAGAUGACCGCCCCGGCUGGUCUCGAACUCCUGACAUCAUGUAAUCCGCCUGCCUCGGCCUCCCAAAGUGCUGGGAUUACAGGCGUGAGCCUUUGUAUCUGGCCCCAGUCUCACUUGUAAGUGAGAGCUAAACACUGAGUACACAUGGACAUAAACAUGGGAGCA